rnacentral:rRNA from 1 species
UACAGAGGUCCCAAGCGUUGUUCGGAUUCACUGGGCGUAAAGGGGUGCGUAGGUGGCCAGGUAAGUUCGGUGUGAAAGCUCGGAGCUUAACUCCGAAAUGGCAUUGAAUACUAUCUGGCUAGAGGGUCGGAGGGGAGACUGGAAUUCUCGGUGUAGCAGUGAAAUGCGUAGAUAUCGAGAGGAACACCAGUGGCGAAGGCGAGUCUCUGGGGCAGUAACUGACGCUGAGGAGCGAAAGCGUGGGUAGCGAACAGG